UACGGAGGAUGCGAGCGUUAUCCGGAUUUAUUGGGUUUAAAGGGUGCGUAGGCGGGCUUUUAAGUCAGCGGUAAAAAUUCGGGGCUCAACCCCGUUCGGCCGUUGAAACUGGGGGCCUUGAGUGGGCGAGAAGAAGGCGGAAUGCGUGGUGUAGCGGUGAAAUGCAUAGAUAUCACGCAGAACCCCGAUUGCGAAGGCAGCCUUCCGGCGCCCUACUGACGCUGAGGCACGAAAGUGCGGGGAUCGAACAGG
rnacentral:rRNA from 1 species